rnacentral:pre_miRNA from 1 species
UAGGUUAUCCGUGUUGCCUUCGCUGUACUCGUGACGAAUCAUACACGGUUGGCCUAUU